rnacentral:rRNA from 1 species
GAGUUUGAUCAUGGCUCGAGGACGAACGCUGGCGGCGCGCCUAACACAUGCAAGUCGAACGAGAGAGAAGGAGCUUGCUUUUGAUGGGCGUCGACCGGCGCACGGGUGAGUAACGCGUAUCCAACCUGCCCACCACUUGGGGAUAACCUUGCGAAAGUAAGACUAAUACCCAAUGAUAUCUCUAGAAGACAUCUGAAAGAGAUUAAAGAUUUAUCGGUGAUGGAUGGGGAUGCGUCUGAUUAGCUUGUUGGCGGGGUAACGGCCCACCAAGGCGACGAUCAGUAGGGGUUCUGAGAGGAAGGUCCCCCACAUUGGAACUGAGACACGGUCCAAACUCCUACGGGAGGCAGCA